rnacentral:rRNA from 1 species
UACGGAGGGUGCAAGCGUUGUUCGGAUUUACUGGGCGUAAAGCGCGCGCAGGUGGGUGAACAAGUCGGAAGUGAAAUCUUGAGGCUCAACCUCGAGGCUGCUCCCGAAACUGUUCGCCUAGGGACUGGUAGAGGCUGGUAGAAUUCCCGGUGUAGCGGUGGAAUGCGUAGAGAUCGGGAAGAAUACCCGUGGCGAAGGCGACUACCUGGCCUGUUCUUGACGCUGAGGCGCGAAAGCUAGGGGAGCAAACAGGG